UAUACAAUUUCGUAAUAAAUCUAUUUUCAUAUAUUUCUUUUUAAAUGAUAAGUUACAUAAUUGAAAUAUUAGACUUAUUUUACAAGGGGUCGCUUCCACACCGUAAAUAUACUGAUGGAAUACCAGAUUCCUGGGGAUAAGCAAACAGUGAAAAUUGGUACAUGGACACCCAGUUAUUUCAAAGAUGGUUUGCAGAUUUUUUUAUUCCCAACUGCGGCCGGGAUAAUCCUGUUGUCCUUUUAAUGGAUAAUUGUGACGCACAUAUCAGCGGUGGAGUGGUCAAAACAGCCAUUGCAAAUGAUGUAGUGUUGGUAGGACUUCCGGACACACCACAUAUCCUACAACCUCUUGACGUAAAAAAAAGGAAAGUGAUGAAGAAAUAAAGACUUGUGAUAAAUGUGGUCACUUUCUAUCAAAUCCUCUGGUAAAACGUGGAUUGAUACCAGCGAGUCUUGCAGACAUACUAUUGCCUCCACCAGUAAAUCCCGCCAAAGUUCAACGGAAAAAGAGGGUUGUAGCAGAAGGACGUUUGAUUAAUGGAGAAGACAUGCUUAAACAGCUAAAGGAGAAAGAAUAUCUUGAGAAGAAGAAAUUCGAGGACAUUGAGAGGAGAAAGAAAGAAAGGGAAAUGAAGAGGGAAAAGCAAUUGGAAAAAGAGGAAGAGAGGCACGCAAAAAAGAAAAAGAGAGUGGAGGAGACGGAACUUAACCUAAACGAGAAAAGGAGAAAAGCCGAGCAAAGAAAAGAAAAAAGGUGAGGUGUGUGGGUUGCAUGGCCUUGUAGACGAUGAGGUUAAUGGAAGGUUUUGGUUUGGGUGUGAUGAAGAGUUAUGCCAACGGUGGUAUCAUGAGGAGUGCUUGACAGAUUGUGAAAGGAUGUAUGUACGGGAGAGCUUAGAGGAAGGUGGAGAUAAAUGGUUCUGUAAGCGGUGUAAACCAUGGUUGUAUGAAGAGGAGUGAAAAACACUUAUUGAUAAAAGUUGUUGCACAUUUCUUACUAGCUUUGGUUUUAAUACAAAUUUGUUUGGCAAGCAAUGCAGUAAAUCUAUGUCAGUUAAAUGAUAAGCUAUAUUUGUAAUUAAAUUAAAUAUGGAUAUUACUAUAAAUUUAUGAUAAAUUAAUGAUUUUCAAAAUAAAGAUAAGCAUAGCUAUUCAUACAUAUUUUGCGUUAAUUUUUUACAUGCAUAAUCCUCUAAUAGUGAAACAUCUGUCUGUUAAGAUCACAGGCAGACACUCAAACGCUAAACGCUAUUUUCCCGUUUCAUUGGCUAAAAACCGUAAAACACAAUACAUUAUUCAUAUUUGGCACUUUACGUCAUUUUUUGGAUAUAAUGUAGUAAUUACUGAAGAUAUUUGACAAAUUGUUAUGAAUAAAAUUCUUUAGAUGUUAAAAAAAGUUUCAUCUGCUUUUGUGCUUUAUCCACAAUUUUAAACAUGCAACACGCUGGCUAUUUCUCAGUGGUUCAUACAUAUUCCCAGAGUUCAUUUUUCUACUCGCAAGAAAAAGUGCAUACAUUACUAGCUAAAGUUUGAGAAACAUAGAAUGUAGGUAAUUUACAAAGAAAAGUCAGUGAAUAUAGUUUAAUUAUCGUGUUAAAGAUAUGUCAGGAAACUGGUUCUGUAAUGGUGAGAAAUUGAUCCUUUUAAUGCCCUUCUUUAACCGUCCAUCUUUAACCAGGUAGUAUAAAUUACAUUUUGAGACGAGGCUAGAGCUCAAGCUUUGGUAUGGCGAAUUUUAUUAGCAUACGUAUAUUAUCAAGAAAUCAACGAACGAAAAACCUCAAUUUUUGUUCGGAAACUGGUUUUAAACCAGUAUAUCAUUAUCAUUUCAUAUAUUUAUAAAUGAUAAAUUUUAACACAUGAUGUAAUGCUUGUGACAGAAUAGGGUUUUAGAUAAGUAAUAUCUUACUUAUUUUGUAUAAUCUCUACUUAAAAACUUUGGGGAGAAAUAAAACAAAAUGUA